GAUGAACGCUGGCGGCGUGCUUAACACAUGCAAGUCGAACGAAGCACUGAAAGCAGAUUACUUCGGUUUGAAGCUUUCUUUGACUGAGUGGCGGACGGGUGAGUAACGCGUGGGUAACCUGCCUCAUACAGGGGGAUAACAGUUAGAAAUGACUGCUAAUACCGCAUAAGCGCACGGUUUCGCAUGGAACAGUGUGAAAAACUCCGGUGGUAUGGGAUGGACCCGCGUCUGAUUAGCUGGUUGGCGGGGUAACGGCCCACCAAGGCGACGAUCAGUAGCCGGCCUGAGAGGGUGAACGGCCACAUUGGGACUGAGACACGGCCCAAACUCCUACGGGAGGCAGCAGUGGGGAAUAUUGCACAAUGGGGGAAACCCUGAUGCAGCGACGCCGCGUGAAGGAAGAAGUAUUUCGGUAUGUAAACUUCUAUCAGCAGGGAAGAAAAUGACGGUACCUGACUAAGAAGCCCCGGCUAACUACGUGCCAGCCGCCGCAGUAACAC
rnacentral:rRNA from 1 species